CGGAUGCGGCGACGGAAGUUUCCCCUCAGGCCUAGUGUGCCCGCUGCGAGGGCCUCUGCAGCUCGCUGGCGCCGCAUUUUCUGAGACGAAGGGCCCCUCAGUCCCUGGUUCUGGGACCCGAUCCCCUGGGGCUGGAGAAGCCGCUGUUGCACCCAAUACGGCCAGGGGUGAAAACGACCUGUUUGUCGCCCAGAAUGCUACAGUUACGCGUAACAGAAACGGAGCAGUAGUGUCCUUACCAGCCGUCUCCCGGUUCGGCCAUGUGGGCCUUUGCUGUCCUGGGAUCUGGCACCGCUCUCCCCAGACUCCACAAGUGGCAGCCCCAGCUCCUCACCUCCGCCUUCUGUCUCCAGCCGCUUACCCCUGUCGAGUGGGUUCCGUCCUCUUUGCUCUGUGCACGGCCUUUCCUACCGGAUUUGCGCCCAGUGAACCGCUGUUGCGUUGAUGUCUUCCUCAUCCAUAUCUACUCGAGGCACAGUGCCUAGAGCACAAGCGUUGAAAAAUAAGGAAAUCUGGAAAACAACCACAAGAAACUUGUCGACUCCAAAAUAUGAAGAAAAAAAAUAACUAUUUACAAAACUUAGAAAUGUUUAGCCAUUUCCAAAAUAGAUACAACAUGUCAUGGCCAUGAGUCCAAUGCCACUUCUAUAGGGGGAGGCAAACGGAGGUUUGCAGUUCGUAUGGAAAAAUAAUACAAUAAUGAAUAAGUAAUAAUACCAAAGUAAGCUGUUUCCUAUACUCAGCUGUAAACCCACGUUUGCCCCCACCUCGUAUAUAAAAAUGACACGCGAUUUCCAAAAGUAA